ACACAGGGUAUUUAGCUGGGCUGUGCUGGUGCCAAGAGUGAAGGGAGCUGGCUGUUCUCUGGGAGUAGGAGCUACUGAUUAGCUGCUCGCUGCCACUGUUCUGCUUGACCAGCUCCAAACAAAGCAAAGCCAGUUGGCAUUUUCAAAAAUGUUUCAAAUGUGUUUCUCACACACACUCCCUCCCUCCCCUUUUGUUUCCUAGCCAACAAAACAAUUCUCAUUUAAACUCCCGAGUACAUAAUAAUAUUAGCAACAGUUCAAGAAGCAGAGUAAUCUAUAAUGGUUUGUGAGCCUUUCAAUCUCUGCCGAGGUAAAAUGCACAGGAGGUUUAAGGUGAGUUUUGCAUGAGCCCAGCUUUUGAACAGUUGGUCACCCUUAGCUCUCCUGGAGUCCACACACACUUAUCAGGUUAAAUAUAAACUGAAAUCUAUCUAGGUCAUGGUAGAUGUGAAUGUGUGGAUUGCUAGGACAAAACUGUUGCUUGGAAAGGGCAAAGAUACAGUUAAGAAGCAAUGCUGGAAGCUGCCACACUGCCCUUGUUUACUCCUGAACUGCAUUCUUUUGUAGAAAGUAGUAGUCUGCUCUUAUUUUAGAUUUCCUUCCCAAAAUGGAUCAGUUUUGGCCUGUGAUACAGGGGCACAGCUUUCUGAAAGGGCUGCUGCCACUCUAGUUUUUGUUUGCAUGUUGCAUAUUUUCUUUGCUUUUCUUUGGAGAGAGAAAGGAAGAGGCAGACAUAUGGGACCUUUGGAGAAAACUCAAGAAAUCUCUGAGAGCGGAAAUAUUAUAGUAGAUGCUGACACAGUGUAGAAAAUGCUGUGGUUUCUUUGGGAACAGAUGGAGACUUUACUCACAGGCCUAAUGACUUGCUGCUAUCAGAUAAAGAUUUAUGAAGCUGGCCUGUUCUGCUGCCUCUUAUUUCUUUCUAGGAAUUAAUUGAGGGCAAGAAAAACUGAAGUAUAAUCUACAAAGCAGUCUGGAGAAAGCAUGUGAAUGCCCAGAUGACGUGUGAACAGAGACGAAUGAGCAGAGAGACAAACCACUGCUGCCGGAUGCUACAACCAAGUUCAACUGCAGAGCCCAGUGUUGCUUACUCCUCUAAAAGGCUAAAAACUGCUGAGAAAUAUGAAUAAGGAUUUAAGGCCCAGAAGAAAUGGGAAGAACAUCUAACACUUGGAUUUGUUUACUUUGGGAGAGAAAGACUGGUUGGGCACUAAAAAUGACAAGCGGAUGAAGUACCAUAAAUACAUCAGGAACCACGAACUACAGAACCUUCAGCAUUCAAAAAUGGCAGACUUCCUUCAACUUUAACCUCCACCAUUUAAUCUUUAUGGUUGAGAGCUCACUUGCACUACUAAUUGCUGUACCUCUAGUUUCUUUUGAUAUUGGCCUAGUUAUAGUUUUCAGAAAGGUUGGGAUUUGAUUUUUAACCCAAAACAGAGACAUUACUGAAAAUCUAUUUGUUCUGUGUGAUGAAAGCUUGGAAAAUUUGGCUCACUUGUGGUCUUUUUCUACUCUAAGCUUUUUGCAGUGAAAUUUUCUUUGGGUCAGAAGAGCAUACCACAAACCCUGUUGACACUCCCUUAUGUAAUCUGUCUUACUGAUUUCAGUGGGACAACUUCUCAUGCUGGAUGAUGUUUUAUAUGUAGAAUCAAAGCAGGAGUGAGGUGAAAGGCCAGCAGAAGUCAACUGUGAGGCACGGUCCACAGCAGUCAGCUUGUGUUUGGGAACUUCUAGGUUCCUUUGAAAUGCCCCUUUAUUUAGAGCUUAUGAGGGGAAGGAAAGGAUAAAUCAGUUGAUGGUGGAGCAACUGUGACAGCUCAUGCAAACACAGGAGCCUGUCAGAGAAAUUACACUUGUCACAGUCACCAAAGCUGUGUCACUCUGAAAGCAAGUGGUUGAGAUGAAAAUUAUAUUUCUUGCAACGUGUAGCAUCUGGUGCACAGCUGUUGUGCUGAAUGAAAUACCAAGUUAACAGCAGCGUGGAACAGUUGAAGUUCUCCCCAAAGUAGUAUUGCUGAGUUUCUAAAUAUGCCUCUUAAAUUAUACUCCAGUGAAAAAUCAGUCAACCUCGAUCUUUGCCUCUGUCUCCCUUUCCCUUGCGCCCCAUUUCUGCUUCUCCAUAUUUAGCACAACAAAGUAACAACGAACAGCGUGGCCUUUCACAAAAGCCGAUCCCCACCUGCUUAUUUACUACAGCAGCUUCACAGUAUGGGUUGUGCUGCUGGGUAUUUUUGUUUAAAUGUCUGCUGACUGAAGGGGCCUGGCAUAGUGUGGAGGCUGUGUUUGACAAAGCGUCUGUAGUGAAAGGACCUGCCUGUAUCACCUCCCACCAAACACCUGCAUGCUGACAAAUGAAUCCCGAGAGCUCCCUUUGAAAAAGAAAUAAGUCCCUGUACCUCUGUGUGGCUGAAUGGCAAUUAGCCCCCCUUCCUUGCAUGCUUCCCUCCCUAAAUAAAGUUGUUAAUGCUGUUGUCUCGGCUAAGACUCCCCACUCUUGCCCUCAAAAUUGCUCUGAGUUGACACCACAGCCAAGCCUGCCCUGCAGAGGCAG